ACGCUCGACACCUACGGGAGGGAGCAGUGGGGAAUAUUGCACAAUGGAGGAAACUCUGAUGCAGCGAUGCCGCGUGAGGGAAGAAGGUUUUCGGAUUGUAAACCUCUGUCUUUGGGGACGAUAAUGACGGUACCCAAGGAGGAAGCUCCGGCUAACUACGUGCCAGCAGCCGCGGUAAUCUGAGCGGGCUGGCAAGGC
rnacentral:rRNA from 1 species